GGAGGUCGGCCCACCGGCAUCGGCGUCCAGACGCAGGUGUCAAACCACCCCAAGCGGCUGUGGUCAAAAGCCAUGGUCGUGAGCAUUGGGGCUAAAUGUGAGGGAUAAACCGUGCUGGU
rfam:Asticcacaulis sp. YBE204 contig00005, whole genome shotgun sequence.